UACGUAGGUGGCAAGCGUUGUCCGGAAUCAUUGGGCGUAAAGAGCGCGUAGGUGGCUUGUCAGGUCUGAUGUGAAAUCCCGGGGCUCAACCCCGGGCGUGCAUCGGAAACCGGCUUGCUAGAGUCUGGGAGAGGAGAGUGGAAUUCCUGGUGUAGCGGUGAAAUGCGUAGAUAUCAGGAGGAACACCGGUAGCGAAGGCGGCUCUCUGGAACAGUACUGACACUGAGGCGCGAAAGCUAGGGGAGCAAACAGG
rnacentral:rRNA from 1 species